rnacentral:misc_RNA from 1 species
GUGAAUCAUCAAAUCUUUGAACGCAAAUUGCACUUUCUGGUAUUCCGGAAAGUAUGCCUGUUGAGGGUCAGGUAAAUAAAAAUCGGGGUUGUUGCUGCGUUGCGUGGUGACGCGUCGGAAUUGAGUUGUCUUACCUUCGGGUAAGUGACUUAAAAUUUUUCAUGAUUUUCGAACGGAUUUAAAUUUCUUACGUACGUUUGAGAUUGCGAAUACUUUAUUUGGUUCGGUCAUCCUCAUUAAUC